GCGCGAGUGGCGGAAUGGAAGACGCGAUGGUUUUAGGUGCCAUUGUCCUUUGGACGUGGGGGUUCGAGUCCCCCCUCGCGCA
rnacentral:tRNA from 1 species